CACCGCGGUUAUACGAGGGGCCCAAGUUGAUUGCGCCUCGGCGUAAAGGGUGGUUAGUGAAUCUUAAACUAAAGCCGAACACCCUCAGGGCUGUUAUAAGCCUCUGAGGAAAGGAAGCCCUCCCACGAAAGUGGCUUUAAUCUCUAUGACCCCACGAAAGCUAGGAUA
rnacentral:rRNA from 1 species